UUUGUUGUAGUCUAGUUGGUUAAGUUAUUUGGUUCUCAUCCAAAAAGACUUGGCUUCAAGUCCCAGUGAUGAAA
rnacentral:tRNA from 1 species